ensembl:lncRNA
UGUCUCACCUCAAAAAGAAACACCAGAGAGUGAAAAUGGCUUGAUCUGGACAAUCAGUUUAAGCUGGCACAUCAAUUGCAUCUAAAAAAUAGAUGAAUCCUUUGUUUUUCAAAUGGACUGAAUCUGAUGAACAAGAAACCAAAACAUGAGGAACCUGAUCAAUGUGUGAUUACCCACACUGCAUUGCUCCUGUUUUCACAAGCCAACCAUUGAAUGACAUUGCAGACCAUAGAAUCCGGGGACAGUUAAGCUGAGGGAAUGACUCUUCUUGACAAUUAAAAAUGGUGUGUAUUUGUUCCUGAAGAACAUCACCUGCUGAGGGCACAGACACUCUUCCUUAUGCUUUAAAGGGACUUUUAUAAAAACCUCAGGACUCAUCCAGGGAUGCCGUUAACCUU